GAGUUUGAUCCUGGCUCAGAUUGAACGCUGGCGGCAGGCCUAACACAUGCAAGUCGAACGGUAACAGAAAGCAGCUUGCUGCUUUGCUGACGAGUGGCGGACGGGUGAGUAAUGUCUGGGAAACUGCCUGAUGGAGGGGGAUAACUACUGGAAACGGUAGCUAAUACCGCAUAACGUCGCAAGACCAAAGAGGGGGACCUUCGGGCCUCUUGCCAUCGGAUGUGCCCAGAUGGGAUUAGCUUGUUGGUGGGGUAACGGCUCACCAAGGCGACGAUCUCUAGCUGGUCUGAGAGGAUGACCAGCCACACUGGAACUGAGACACGGUCCAGACUCCUACGGGAGGCAGCAGUGGGGAAUAUUGCACAAUGGGCGCAAGCCUGAUGCAGCCAUGCCGCGUGUAUGAAGAAGGCCUUCGGGUUGUAAAGUACUUUCAGCGGGGAGGAAGGGAGUAAAGUUAAUACCUUUGCUCAUUGACGUUA
rnacentral:rRNA from 1 species